ACUAGCUUGUUUAUUAAUAUAUAUUAGUUUAAUAGUGUAUUUGGACACAUAUACGUGAUGUAAACAGUUAGCUCUAUUGUUUUUGUAAAAUGCCUGUCCAAAUAUGGAUCUAUAAGCAAGCUAAUAUCACUAUGCUAACCGCUAACGCUUAGCAUGGGGAAACUAGCUUGUUUAUUAAUAUAUAUUAGUUUAAUAGUGUAUUUGGACACAUAUACGUGAUGUAAACAGUUAGCUCUAUUGUUUUUGUAAAAUGCCUGUCCAAAUAUGAAUCUAUAAGCAAGCUAAUAUAAUUAUGCUAAGCGCUAGCUUACUAAAAGAGCUAAGAUAGCAGCAACUAUUGCUAAUUAUCCCUGAGCUGCUCCUGUUAUGUGCUAAAUGUUACAGAUGGUUAACGAAUUGUUGUAUGUAGUUUAUUGGAGCUCCUGAGUGCCAUAUAAUGUAUACUGCUGUAUAAUGUAGUGGUUUUAUCAUAGCUAGAGAUCUUCUGAAUAGUUAGUUAUGUGCUUACACAAUGUAUGUAACAGUCAAGAAAAGGGGCUUUUGUUCAGGUUCUAUCUAUUCUAGUCAUUAAAGUCAUUAAAUAUAUGUUUAUACUCCUUAUAAUAUGUAUGAUUGUGUGUUUUUCUUCUCACAGUGAACUGUGUGUAAAUCAUCAACUGCCUGUGUAUCAGCUGAUUUCUACACCAGCUUUACAUCCUGAGCAGAAGAUUGUCGUGGAGAGGACGGACCCUUGAUGCUCUGCCUUUUUGCACCAACAAUACAUACAUGUAUUUUAUUAAUUUGUAAAUAAAGUCUUUAAUAUAAUUUUA